rnacentral:lncRNA from 1 species
CUGGACUGUUUUGAAAAGCACAUAGUGAGUGUGCACUUUCUCUUCAUAUGUUAACAAUUUGAUGAUUAACUUGGUAAUUUCAUAUAUGGCAAAAUUAGGUGCUGCUGAAAAGCAAAGACUCUACAGACAGAGCAGGCAUGCUGACCCACACCGCAGAGCAGCCUUCCUUAAACAAAAACACCAGACUUACUUAAAGGAUUUAGAGUCAAAAAAGAGAGUGAAGGUUCUCAAAGAAAGGGAAAAAGACAGGAGUGAAGGAAAUGGUGGAUCAGAUAGGCAAAACACACAGAGAGAUUGAGCGCAGGAACAACAGUGUUGACCCCCCAUCCUCUCCAGACAGUGAACCCAGUACUGCAAGGUCAGAAUUAAGACAAUGUGUCUGUAGGAAGACAUAUGUACUCUGUAUCUACAGAGUUACUUAAACGGAUAGUUCACCCAAAUUACAAAAUUACAUAUUUGGUUUCCUUACCAUGUAUGCAGUCUACGGACAAGGUAUGACAGCAAGCCAUACUUUUGUUUACAUGGCCAUUAUUUCAAAUGCUAAUUAUUUUGCAUUUGUGGCACAAAACCAAAGCAUUGAUUGCUGUCAUACCUUGUCCAUAGACUGCUUACACAGUAAGGAAACCAAUAUACGUGUAUCGUGAACUACGACAAACAACCAUACCCUAGCAUUAUACAGGUUGAAGAACAUAAUGUCAAAGUUAAGUGCAAGCACAGGAAUGGCGUCAACAAGUUCUACUUGCAACCUAAGAGAUGAUAUCAACUGGUAUGAGGAUGACCAGAUUGUUUGUCUGAUGCCAGAGCUGCUGCCAGUGAACAAAAGAUCAGUUCAAAUUUGCCAGAGUAUCAGGAAGUACUUGGAGGAGCACCUAACUGUGUGAAAGUGGCAGAUGUGAACUGUCUACUAGUGAAGAAGCCGUCAGUAGCUAGAAAGCAAUGGAGAUUGGCUCAGAGAUGAUAAGAGAUGGACGCGACACAAUAACAUGGCAAAACAAACAUAUCUGAAGUAAAAGUGAAGAACAAUACAGGAACAUUUCCAUGAAAAUGUUUUAAUGCAUACAAAAUGUUCAUAUCAGUGUGGUUAGGAAAACAGUUUUAGUUUAUGUUCAAUGUUAGUGUUUUUAAUAUUCUAGUGGACAUGUUUAAUAUGUUUGUAUCACAAUGUGUUAUGAAAGACAUUUUAGUCAAUAGGCUUCAUCUUUUGGUCUUAAUCUUUGACCAAUAACCCUAAUUUUAUUGUUCAUAUUAAAUCAACCAAUUCUAU